rnacentral:rRNA from 1 species
ACCCAAAAAGCCAUGCGAGUCUGAGAGGGUUCGGCCCUCGGCUGACGGCUCAGUAACACGUGGAUAAUCUGACCUUAGGUGGAGGAUACUCUCGGGAAACUGAGAAUAAUACUCCAUAGGCCUAGGAUGCUGGAAUGCACUUAGGCUCAAAGUUCCGGCGCCUAAGGAUGAGUCUGCGGACUAUCAGGUUGUAGUCAGGGUAAUGACCUGACUAGCCUACAACGGAUACGGGUUGUGAGAGCAAUAACCCGGAGAUGAUAUCUGAGACACGAUAUCAGGCCCUACGGGGCGCAGCGGGCGCGAAAACUUCACAAUGUGCGAAAGCACGAUGAGGGAAUCCCAAGUGCUUGCACGUAAGUGUAAGCUGUUUUUAUGUUUAAAACGCAUAGAGAGUAAGAGCUGGGUAAGACGGGUGCCAGCCGCCGCGGUAAUACCUGCAGCUCGAGUGGUGGCCGCUAUUAUUGGGCCUAAAACGUCCGUAGCCGGUUUAAUAAAUGCCUGGGUAAAUCGUGUAGCUUAACUAUACGAAUUCCGGGUAGACUGAUAAACUUGAGACCGGGAGAAGCUAGAGGUACUCCUGGGGUAGAGGUGAAAUUCUGUAAUCCUAGCGGGACCACCAGUGGCGAAGGCAUCUGGAUAGAACGGAUCU